rnacentral:rRNA from 1 species
GCACAACGCGAAGAACCUUACCUGGUCUUGACAUGCAUCUUGUCGCUGGUGAAAGCCAGCUAGGUUAGCAAUAACCGAUUUGCACAGGUGCUGCAUGGCUGUCGUCAGCUCGUGUCGUGAGAUGUUGGGUUAAGUCCCGCAACGAGCGCAACCCUUGUGAUUAGUUGCCAGCGGGUAAUGCCGGGAACUCUAAUCAGACUGCCCAGAUCAACUGGGAGGAAGGUGGGGACGACGUCAGGUCAGUAUGGCCCUUACGCCUUGGGCUGCACACGUACUACAAUGCCCGGCACAAUGAGAACCGAGACCGCGAGGUGGAGGAAAUCUGGAAAACCGGGCCCAGUUCGGAUUGGAGGCUGCAACCCGCCUCCAUGAAGUCGGAAUCGCUAGUAAUGGCGCAUCAGCUACGGCGCCGUGAAUACGUUCCCGGGUCUUGUACACACCG